AAGCAGACGACUUCUCAAAAAUUGUAGACCAGUGUUAUCGAAGGAGCGUGAGGCUGGGGAAGCCACCUCUGCUGAAACUUUAUCCAUAGGCGCAUCUUCCACACCGGGACAGAGACUUUCCCAGAUUAAAAGGCGGUGUGGCAGAGCUCCUACCUUGUCUCACUGGGUCCCACACUUCCAGGCUGAUUAUGCUAGACUCAGACACCUUCCACGUAGCCCUUUUUUCUCAAGGGGCAAGGGUCACAGCCUACUGAGCCAUUUUCAUCAUAAGCCAGCAACAGAGGCAUCUGGCCUUGCCCUGUCACAGCAGAAAAAGAAGACUCAGGAGGAUAUGUUCAAUGAGCUAAUGUGUGCCCCCAAGAAUGACAAGAUGGAGCUCAGCACAUGGAGGAUUGCACUGUUGGAGAGCCUGCAUAAUGACCGUGAGGACACGAGAGCAUGCAGGGAACAUAAGUCAGACAAGCAAGAUGAGAUGGUGUGGAUUAUGAUGAAGCAAACAGACAUAUUGAGGCAUCUGGUUGAGGUUCAAGAAAGGCAUCUGGACUUUAGAGUCCCACUGCAGCCUAUGCUGAACCUGCUGUCAUCGUCGCCAAGUUCCACAUCCUCCUCUCCCAGACUUCCUAGGAUGGGGGGGGGGGGGGAGGAGAGAGUCCGGUAUCCCUUGCACUCAACUCCAGGGGAGGGUACAAGGACCAGAAGGCACCCAUUCCCAUUCCCUUUGAUGUUAUUGCAGUGCAAUUGUAAGCAAGCUGUCCUUGUUCCCCUCUCCCCCAGUGUUAUCAGCCCUUUAGCCCCAGGUUAUCUUACUUUUCUUUGCUGUCUCUCAGUGUUUGUGAGCAUAAUAAAAAUUGAUGGAU